CCUGAAUCAAAACCUGAAGCUGUCAACUUGCUGAAGUAGAUCCCGUUGCCACCUGAAUUAUUCCAGCAACCGCAUUAUGUACGUGGUGGACACUGAUUGACAAUUGUCAUUUGGCAAAAGAGCUGUUGUGGAAAAACCUGUGAAAACUUCUAGUGCCCGUGACCCAGUCCCUGCAUCAAUGCAUGUGCAAGGUGUAUACAAAAAACUAGACUGCAUCAACAGUUCCCCAUUUUCAGCCGCUCUGUGGUCGAUGACCAGAAUGGUGUCCAAACUGGAAGAAAACAUUACUCCUUAAUCUCACCAAAAUUUGAUAGCGAAGCUGAGCACUGGAGGAGUCUCAGUGGCGACUCCGAACCCCUAAGCUUUAUCCAGGGAUUUCUCAGCAUCGCCUGUCCGCUUUGCUAGGGGAAAGGGUGGUGACGAGGCAGUAGCCGUGAGGCAAGACGAGUAUU
rnacentral:lncRNA from 1 species